rnacentral:rRNA from 1 species
CGUGUAGGCGGGCAGGUAAGUCGGGCGUGAAAUCCCUGAGCUCAACUCAGGAACUGCACUCGAAACUACUUGUCUUGAGUACCGGAGAGGAAAGCGGAAUACCUGGUGUAGAGGUGAAAUUCGUAGAUAUCAGGUGGAACACCAGUGGCGAAGGCGGCUUUCUGGACGGUAACUGACGCUGAGACGCGAAAGCGUGGGAGCAAACA